AGAGAUUAUGCUAGGCAGUUGAUAGAUCCUAUCUACAGUUCAACUUCAUUCCUAGAUAGAAGCUAGAUUCAUCUGAUAUCCGAGAAAUGAAGUUUCAGGAGACCAAAGUCAGAUCUGAGUUUCUUUCUAGAAACUUCUUUCCCAGCCUUGAAACUCUUGGGUGCUAUGAGCCCAGGAUAUACAAUAGAUGAUGACAACAUUUUACUUUUAUGUAUGAAGGUAUAGAUGACUCUUCAAAUUAAAGAUGGAAGCGGACUUUUCUCACCAGAAAUGGUUAUCGAAUCAACCUGCAAAAAUAUGAGGCAGCAAACAAAGGAAAAUAUUUUCUUUUAUCAUCUUUAUAUUCUUUGCUAGAUUGUAAACUCCACAAAAGCAGGAUAUCUCCCUUAUCCUUAAUGCCUGGCUUAGAAUA